GAUGAACGCUGGCGGCGUGCCUAAUACAUGCAAGUCGAGCGAACGGACGAGAAGCUUGCUUCUCUGAUGUUAGCGGCGGACGGGUGAGUAACACGUGGAUAACCUACCUAUAAGACUGGGAUAACUUCGGGAAACCGGAGCUAAUACCAGAUAAUAUUUUGAACCGCAUGGUUCAAAAGUGAAAGACGGUCUUGCUGUCACUUAUAGAUGGAUCCGCACUGCAUUAGCUAGUUGGUAAGGUAACGGCUUACCAAGGCAACGAUGCAUAGCCGACCUGAGAGGGUGAUCGGCCACACUGGAACUGAGACACGGUCCAGACUCCUACGGGAGGCAGCAGUAGGGAAUCUUCCGCAAUGGGCGAAAGCCUGACGGAGCAACGCCGCGUGAGUGAUGAAGGUCUUCGGAUCGUAAAACUCUGUUAUUAGGGAAGAACAUAUGUGUAAGUAACUGUGCACAUCUUGACGGUACCUAAUCAGAAAGCCACGGCUAACUACGUG
rnacentral:rRNA from 1 species